AGCGAACGUUAGCGGCGGGCCUAACACAUGCAAGUCGAACGAGAAAGUCCUUCGGGAUGAGUAAAGUGGCGUACGGGUGAGUAACGCGUAGGCAAUCUGCCCAUGGGCGGGGGAUAACACUCCGAAAGGGGUGCUAAUACCGCAUAAGCUCACGGCUUCUACGGGAGCAGUGGGAAAAGGUGGCGUCCGGAAGGAGCUAUCGCCCAAGGAGGAGCCUGCGUCCCAUCAGCUAGUUGGUAGGGUAAUGGCCUACCAAGGCGAAGACGGGUAGCUGGUCUGAGAGGAUGAUCAGCCACACUGGAACUGAGACACGGUCCAGACUCCUACGGGAGGCAGCAGUGGGGAAUUUUGGACAAUGGGGGCAACCCUGAUCCAGCCAUGCCGCGUGAGUGAAGAAGGCCUUCGGGUUGUAAAGCUCUUUCAGCCGGGAAGAAAUCGCAUAGGUUAAUACCCUGUGCGGAUGACGGUACCGGAAUAAGAAGCACCGGCUAACUACGUGCCAGCCGCCGCCGUAAGAC
rnacentral:rRNA from 1 species